GAAAGGCCCCUUCGGGGGCCGAGUAGAGUGGCGCACGGGUGAGUAACACGUAGGUAAUCUACCUCUGGGUGGGGAAUAACGACCGGAAACGGUCGCUAAUACCGCAUAAUGCAGCGGCACCACAUGGUGACAGUUGUUAAAGCGGGGGAUCGUAAGACCUCGCGCCUAGAGAUGAGCCUGCGGCGGAUUAGCUAGUUGGCAGGGUAACGGCCUACCAAGGCGACGAUCCGUAGCCGGCCUGAGAGGGCGGACGGCCACACUGGCACUGACAUACGGGCCAGACUCCUACGGGAGGCAGCAGUCGGGAAUUUUGGGCAAUGGGCGAAAGCCUGACCCAGCAACGCCGCGUGAAGGAUGAAGCUUUUCGGAGUGUAAACUUCAUAAGAAUGGGACGAAUAAGGAGGGGUUAACACCCCCUUUGAUGACGGUACCAUUUGUAAGCUCCGGCUAACUCCGUGCCAGCAGCCGCGGUAAUACGGGGGGAGCAAGCGUUGUUCGGAUUUACUGGGCGUAAAGGGCGCGUAGGCGGCGCAACAAGUCACUUGUGAAAUCUCCGGGCUUAACCCGGAGCGGCCAAGUGAUACUGUCGUGCUAGAGUGCGGAAGGGGCUACUGGAAUUCUCGGUGUAGCGGUGAAAUGCGUAGAUAUCGAGAGGAACACCUGCGGCGAAGGCGGGUAGCUGGGCCGACACUGACGCUGAGGCGCGAAAGCCAGGGGAGCGAACGGGAUUAGAUACCCCGGUAGUCCUGGCCUUAAACGAUGGAUGCUUGGUGUCCGGGGUUACAUAGUCCCCGGGUGCCGGCGCUAACGCAUUAAGCAUCCCGCCUGGGGAGUACGGUCGCAAGACUGAAACUCAAAGGAAUUGACGGGGACCCGCACAAGCGGUGGAGCAUGUGGUUUAA
rnacentral:rRNA from 1 species